ACUUUCCUAGUAUAAAAAGUAUACUUGGCUUCCAACCAGGAGGUUUGAAAACUCAAGGUAAGUA
rnacentral:tRNA from 1 species